GCCGGAAGUGGUUUAUGUCGGCGUCAGCUGAAGCGCUAAAUUAACCUUGUAGCUACAUAUUUCUUGCGUUUUUUAUUAUUGCCCAACUUGCCGUCUUGCUGAGACAUGGCCGUUCUUCUGGACUGACACAGGAAAUCAUUUUCCAGAGAGAAACCCAAAAUGCCUAUCAAGUCUAGCCCUGUAAUGAGGAACGUUUUGACUGAGCGAAGAUCUAUGUGCGCCUUCAUCUUCAGCCACCCACUCCUCUGCAUGUGGCCAAACAGAAGGGCUGCGGUGUUUGUCCACGACCGCAACAGGAGGACGCUCCUCCUUGGACGUCUCACUGGACAGCACCACCGAGUCAGAUGGAUUUUUGAUUUAUGAGCUCAUGUCACUGGGAAUGUUUGAACGAGGAGCCGCUUGGUUUCAUCAAGGCCAAUUCAUUUAUGUCACUUCACUUCGCCUCCAGCCCUUUAAUGUUUUAGGAGUCUUUUCAUUAGAAUGAAGAAUCUGAUUUACAGUGCAAGCACCAGCGUUCCUCUGAGGGAUCAUUUAACACUGGAAGCUGGAGUGCAAGCCCCAAAAAUAUGACCUAGAAGAAAUUUCUGCUGAAAGCUGAUAUCAGGGCAGAUUUACAGCGCUGGCCGCGCUAACGAUGGCCCUUAACGAGCAGCUCAGACUGACUGACGGGUCUACUGAUGGGAAAAUAAGGCAGUAAAUGAGGAAUCGGAUAUUUCCCCUCUUUGCUAUAUCAGUCUGGCCCUAAUGCAGAGGGGUGAACUUUGAAGUACCCUAAUGGUCUUCAUGGUCUUUUAACCCAGCAGCCCUAUAUUAUGGGGUGCCAAUGGAGCCUGGCUGGAGCAGCGUGACCCGUCAGCUUUAACGAGUUCUUCUCAGGGCACAGUAGUUUGCUCUUCUUCCUUAUUCUGGGCGCAUAUUUAUCAUUUAGCUGUGAAACAGAAGAGUUACAAGGUUUGGGGAGAGUCUCUUUAAUAGGCAUUGCCUUCUUUUGAUCAGACAAGAGGAAGAGGUCAGUGUCUGUAACUCGGUUGAACAGAGUUUCUAAAGUAGACAGCGGUGCAUG